rnacentral:rRNA from 1 species
CGGAGGAUCCAAGCGUUAUCCGGAAUCAUUGGGUUUAAAGGGUCCGUAGGCGGUCCUGUAAGUCAGUGGUGAAAGCCCAUCGCUCAACGGUGGAACGGCCAUUGAUACUGCAGGACUUGAAUUACUGGGAAGCAACUAGAAUAUGUAGUGUAGCGGUGAAAUGCUUAGAGAUUACAUGGAAUACCAAUUGCGAAGGCAGGUUGCUACCGGUGGAUUGACGCUGAUGGACGAAAGCGUGGGUAGCGAACAGGAUUAGAUACCCUGGUAGUCCACGCCGUAAACGAUGGAUACUAGCUGUUGGGAGCGAUCUCAGUGGCCAAGCGAAAGUGAUAAGUAUCCCACCUGGGGAGUACGAACGCAAGUUUG